UUUUCUUUAAGUGAUAAGGAAUAGACAAAUAGGGCACAAGCUGUUGUGAGAAUUGUAGGAUUUCAAUUUUAGCUAACAAUGAAGUUAUUUUCGACACAAAAUACAGGAUGAAAAACAAAGCUAUCUAUUAAUUUAUCAUUCAAUUUCAGGAAGAAACAAUAUGCUUUUUAUUCCAAAAAACAAUAACAAUAUAUAUAUGUAAUAUUAACCUUAACAAUACAAGUAAAGUUGUAACCUAAAACACCUGUAGUGGACAACUCAAAGAUUUCAUGGAUGUCAAUAGCCCUCCAAGUAAAAGUAAAAUUUUAAGAAGAUUGAGGAUGAGUUUGAAUGGACGGUGCGUUUAUCUGCGAUUAGUGUAAAAACAACAGUGGCAGUGAGAUUAAAUAUUAUAACGAUACUAUAACCUGAGACAAAAAGUAAGCUAAACACACCGCACAGCACUGCCCAUCCAUACCACACUGAAUGUAUUUGUUACAGAAACACACCUUUCCUUACACCAGAACCCCAAGUACAAACAAUGCAGACAUGUAUAGUUUGCUGCUGAUCGCAUAACUUAGAGUUAAUCAAUCAAACUAUAUUAAUGUUUGCCUCAAAUGUUAACAUACCAAAAUAAAAUUAACCAAUACAAAUUUAUUACCCCCUCUACAGAGUGCAACAUCAGCACGAUGAUAAAACAUAACUCACUAACAAUGACUACUUAUCCAAAGAAAAAAAACACCAACAACAGUCAUUUUCCUUUAAUUGGAAUCUAAAAUGCUAACAAUAACACCAUCUUUUUGUAACUUUAAAGACGGUAGCAAUUCAAAAUAACUCGGAGAAAAAGCUUUAGAAAGAAAUAUUCACAAUUAAUAUGGAUAAGAAAUUCAGUUAACAACUACAAGAAUUGGUACUGCAAAUAAUAACAUUGUACAAACCUAAUUAAAAUUAGUUUCCAAUACAAUAUGGCUAACUAACAACAACCUAACACAAUUAAAGCUACCUCGUAUACAAAGAGAAGAAUCAUAGACUAGCAAUUUUGAUUUAACCUCCAUUAAGCAAAAGCACACGAGAAAGAAAACAUUAUGAAUCCAGAUAGCAGGUCUUUUAGACAGCAAUUCCCCUUCUUAAAUGUAUAUUUUCAUCAUUUGAAAACAUAAUCAGCAUUCUUGCUCUUUUUUUUUCACUAGUCCAAAAAUAUUCUCGCUAAAUUCCAAGUCAUUUUCAUCAUAUCAGCACUACUACUACCCCUUGACAAUUUAACCAUAUAAUCUGUUUUUCAUAGAGCAAAGCCCUAAUUCACUGCAAGUUGACUAUCUAACGGCUAAGGCCAACGGCCUCAAUCCACAAAAAAUAAAAAAUAAAACGCAUUUCUCCUCCAUUAAUUAAGAAAUACCAGCAUUAACAAAAUCAAGAAAACAAAAAUUUUUAGUGAUAAUUUUUAGUUUCUUGGGUGCAAUUCCAGUGGCAGUAAAAGAGAGGCAUAGUACACUACAGUACUCUUUCCGAAAGAAAGAUUUAACUAGAUAAGAAAAACAAAUAAAUAAAAAAGUAUAAACUAGCAAACAGAGAGUCAUCAGAUUGCAAUAAUACGCAGUGCCAUUAAUUCAACGCGGUUAGUGACGAAAACAUGUCAAGCUCAGGACACCGUAGAAGAAGAAAAUCAAGCAACCUAGACGAUAAAACUAUACGUGAACUUAUAUUCAGAAAGUAAAACAAAUUAUGACAAUAACUAAAAACUUACAAAUAAAGAAGCGCGAAGAAACAUAAAAAGCAUAUAACUAAGCACUUCCUCAAAGAAUAAGCUUCAGAAGCCAUUGACCUAAUCAAUUCCUAAAAAACAUUGGAAAACUAUAUAUCAGAACAGAAAAAAAGGUAGAGAAUCAAGAACAAAGAGUAAAGCCUUAACACAGCUAUCAACAUGCAGCGAGAGAUAUCGCCAUGAAAGUUCUCAAAACAAAGCAACUCGACGGACAUAAAAAAGGAUUCGUCAUGAAAGUGAAGACGAAGCCAACGAAUUAAGCAGUGGAAAGGAGGGCGUAUGGAGACGGAUCUGGUCUGGCUCUGGUCUUUUCUUUUCCCUCCUCUUGGAACCGAAAGGUGCUGUACGCCUGGAUUAUCAAAAGCGUCGUAAUGUGGAGAGAGAAGAAAAUAUCUUCGCCAACUUACACGAAUGACGAAUCCUUGUUGAUAUACACAAGGAAACAGAUGAACCCAUAAAUAGAAAAAAAAAGAACCCACAACAGGCUUUUUAUAUUCUCUGCAAACAUAAUUAGGUGAACUACGUGUACAUGGACAGC
rnacentral:lncRNA from 1 species